rnacentral:lncRNA from 1 species
GGGUAGGGGUAAAGAUCUAUCGGAUAUAGCAUAUAUAAAGCAAUAAAAGCAUGCAGAGUCUACUAGCCGAUACGAUCUGAUAACUAUGAAUUUUUAAAUAGGGCAAGGGAGAUGAUGAGGACUACCUAACAAGAUUUAAGCCUCUCAAUAACUGUGAGUGCUUCGGAACAACCAAGGAGCUAAUAAAGAGAACCUAGAUAGAUCUAAGCAAACUCGAUAACUGUGAGCAUCGAAGACAAGCAGAAUAUUGAUAAAGCCUAGAAAGUUCUACAUGCAAUCUAAGAUAACUCAAUA